rnacentral:tRNA from 1 species
ACCUUGCUGGCUCAGUCAGUAGAGUGUGUGACUCUUGAUCUCAGGAUUGUGAGUUCAAGCCCCAUGUUAGGUA